rnacentral:rRNA from 1 species
GACGAACGCUGGCGGCGUGCUUAACACAUGCAAGUCGAACGGAAAGGCCCUGCUUUUGUGGGGUGCUCGAGUGGCGAACGGGUGAGUAACACGUGAGUAACCUGCCCUUGACUUUGGGAUAACUUCAGGAAACUGGGGCUAAUACCGGAUAGGAGCUCCUGCUGCAUGGUGGGGGUUGGAAAGUUUCGGCGGUUGGGGAUGGACUCGCGGCUUAUCAGCUUGUUGGUGGGGUAGUGGCUUACCAAGGCUUUGACGGGUAGCCGGCCUGAGAGGGUGACCGGCGACAUUGGGACUGAGAUACGGCCCAGACUCCUACGGGAGGCAGCAGUGGGGAAUCUUGCACAAUGGGCGGAAGCCUGAUGCAGCAACGCCGCGUGCGGGAUGACGGCCUUCGGGUUGUAAACCGAUUUCGCCUGUGACGAAGCGUGAGUGACGGUAAUGGGUAAAGAAGCACCGGCUAACUACGUG